UACAUGGGGUGCAAACGUUGCUCGGAAUUAUUGGGCGUAAAGCGCACGUAGGCGGUUCGUUAAGUCGGAUGUGAAAGCCCUCGGCUCAACUGAGGAAGUGCACCCGAAACUGGCGAGCUUGAGUACGAAAGAGGAUCGCGGAAUUCCCGGUGUAGAGGUGAAAUUCGUAGAUAUCGGGAGGAACACCGGUGGCGAAGGCGGCGAUCUGGGUCGAUACUGACGCUGAGGUGCGAAGGCGUGGGGAGCAAACAGG
rnacentral:rRNA from 1 species